AUUGAACGCCGGCGGCAGGCCUAACACAUGCAAGUCGAACGAGUGGCGGACGGGUGAGUAAUGUCUGGGAAACCGCCUGAUGGAGGGGGAUAACUACUGGAAACGGUAGCUAAUACCGCAUACCAUCGGAUGUGCCCAGAUGGGAUCAGCUAGUAGGUGGGGUAAAGGCUCACCUAGGCGACGAUCCCUAGCUGGUCUGAGAGGAUGACCAGCCACGCUGAGACUGAAACACGGUCCAGACUCCUACGGGGGGCAGCAGUGGGGAAUGUUGCGCAAUGGGCACAAGCCUGAUGCAGCCAUGCCGCAGGUAUGAAGAAGGCCUUAGGGUUGUAAAGUACUUUCAGCGGGGAGGCGUUACCCGCAGAAGGAGCACCGACUAGCUCCGUGCCAGCAGCCGCGAUAAUUC
rnacentral:rRNA from 1 species